rnacentral:lncRNA from 1 species
UGCAUGCACUGUAUUCAUCAUAUACAUAAACAUUAAUCCCUCUGUGGGAUCUCAUCAAAGCCUCAAGGGCUAUACAUCAUAUGGUGAGUUGGUUUACAUCAAUAUCAAAACACAAGAUCAUGUACAUACCAAGGGAUUAACAAAUACUAUGGUCAAGCACAACUCUAUCUUCGAUAACAUAAUUACAUAAACUUUACAUUACAUUCUUAUCAUUUGUCAUGUCCACAUACUCUAGCUAUUACAUACAUAUGACUUUUCUCUUCUUUUCUUCUCUAUCAUUCCCGUACCUGCAAACCUGGGGGUUAGGGGAGAGGGGUGAGCUAAAAGCCCAGUGAGCAGAAACUAAAAACAUUAUAUUAAAGUUCAUGCUUUCAUGAGAUGCAUCAUAACACAGACAAUUCACAUCAAGGGUGAACCUGUCACCAAUUAUUCCCAACAUAGUCUCGUGCCAGGCCGUAGCAUGGGGUCCUGGUCUUCCUGUCAUAACAUACAUAAAGUCUCGUGCCAGGCCGUAGCAUGGGGUNNNNN